ACCUGAAGAAGAGGAGGAGGAAGAGGAGGAAGAGGAGGAGAAAUGGCGCGCUUGUUGAUGUAAACAGAUGUUUUAUUGUCAGCAGGAUGAUCCGCUGGAAACACAAAACUGUCCAAGGAUGAGAGAGUCCGGAGGAAAGGAGCCAGUCUGAAGUCAGCCAAUCAGAGGUAGAGGUGGGCGAUGUUCCAGAGCACACACAGUCGGACACACAACGAACAACACAAGCAGUCAGUCAGCGAGAGACAGGUACGACAGGUGUAACAGGUACGACAGGUACGACAGCUACAACAGGUACAACAGGUGUAACAGGUACAACAGGUACAACAGGUG